rnacentral:ncRNA from 1 species
UACUUCACAUUGACAAGGAACAGUAAAAAGUGAUGCAGAUUCAGAGAGAGUAUGGUUGGUGCAAAUACUCCUGACAACUUUUGAAGCUCGCCUUGAAGUGAUGGGUGCUGAAAGUAGUAGGCAUCCACGGUGACAAUCGUUAACAUGUUCAAGGUCAGCAAUGUCUGAUGAAGAAUAGGUGGUACCACGUGUGAAUGACGUCCUAUAG